rnacentral:rRNA from 1 species
UACGAACUGUGCGAACGUUAUUCGGAAUCACUGGGCUUACAGGGUGCGUAGGCGGUGAGACAAGUCAGGUGUGAAAUCCCACAGCUCAACUGUGGAACUGCGCUUGAAACUGUCUUACUUGAGGAAUCUAGAGGUAUGCGGAACUUCCGGUGGAGCGGUGAAAUGUGUUGAUAUCGGAAGGAACACCAGAGGCGAAGGCGGCAUACUGGGGAUUAUCUGACGCUGAGGCACGAAAGCCAGGGGAGCAAACGGG